rnacentral:rRNA from 1 species
CCUACGGGUGGCAGCAGUGAGGAAUAUUGGUCAAUGGACGAAAGUCUGACCCAGCCAAGCCGCGUGAGGGAUGACUGUCUUCUGAUCUUAAAACUCUUUUUAUAAAGGAAUACGACUAGGCUCGUGUGCCUUUUUGCAUGUACUUUAUUAUUAAGGGAAGGCUAACUCCACGCCAGUCGCCGCGGCAAUACGGAGGCUCCGGUCGUUAUCCGGAUUUGUUGGGUUUAAAGGGAACGUAGGUGGGUUGUUAAGUCAGUUGUGAAAGGGUGCGGCUCAAGCGUGAAAUUGCAUUUGAUACUGGCAAACUUGAGUGUAGGAGAGGAUGGCGGAAUUCGAGGUGUAGCGGUGAAAUGCGUAGAUAUCACGAGGAACACCGAUGGCGAAGGCAGCUAUCUAACCUGUAACUGACGCUGAUGCGCGAAAGCGUGGGUAGCAAACAGGAUUAGAUACCCCAGUAGUC